AGUGAACGCUGGCGGUAGGCCUAACACAUGCAAGUCGAACGGCAGCACAGUAAGAGCUUGCUCUUACGGGUUGCGAGUGGCGGACGGGUGAGGAAUACAUCGGAAUCUACUUUUUCGUGGGGGAUAACGUAGGGAAACUUACGCUAAUACCGCAUACGACCUACGGGUGAAAGCAGGGGAUCUUCGCACCUUGCGCGAUUGAAUGAGCCGAUGUCGGAUUAGCUAGUUGGCGGGGUAAAGGCCCACGAAGGCGACGAUCCGUAGCUGGUCUGAGAGGAUGAUCAGCCACACUGGAACUGAGACACGGUCCAGACUCCUACGGGAGGCAGCAGUGGGGAAUAUUGGACAAUGGGCGCAAGCCUGAUCCAGCCAUACCGCGUGGGUGAAGAAGGCCUUCGGGUUGUAAAGCCCUUUUGUUGGGAAAGAAAAGCAGCAGGUUAAUACCCCGCUGUUCUGACGGUACCCAAAGAAUAAGCACCGGCUAACUUCGUG
rnacentral:rRNA from 1 species